GGAAGAGUCGUUGGAAGAAGAAAUUAGGAAUGCUCAUACCUUUGUGUAUUUUUAAAUAUAUUUUCUUCGUUCUGCGGAGCUCUUGUGCUAUAAAGGUGAAGAACUGCGUAAAGACAGUGUUGGGGAGACUUACGUAGUACCUCUAAAAUCAAAGGUAUCUUAGAAGAUGGUAAUGUGGUUGCCGAUGAUUCUGAAUAAAUACAGCUUUUAUCCCAGGUGUGCCAUUCUGAAGACUGAGACAAUAGAGUUUUUAAGAAUAAAAGAGAACCCUUGGGAAAUUCUGUAUUGUAUAUAUCAAAAAUAUGAAUCCUGAGGUGGAAUGAAAGGCGUGUAUACUAUAGACAUCGAAGCAUUUACACCCAGCUUGAAGAGUUUGAAAUGGACUUUACCACUGAGAAAUCAAGAUGGCAGCCCAUUAUGGGGAAUUGAGGAAAAUGGAUUAAUGCAAGAAUGCUGUGAUAUUACACAACCAACACAGGAUUCUUUUAAUAUGGAUUCCAUGAAAUGAAUGAUUCUUACCCAACACAAAUGGACAGUGGAAUUUACUUCCUAAAGACUUGUUACGUAUCAUGUACAUUUUUGACAUCUGGAGAAGAUGCUACAUUUCUACAAAUGGUAGUUUGUAUUCCUGGAGUUUCUUGAAGUUUGAUCUGAGUGACCUUAUGGAAUGUUAACUUUAAUAAAAUUCUAAAACUUAAAAAAUUCUCAGUUUGGGCCUUUUAUAAAACUUUUUUUCACCGUGGAUGUUUUCAUUAAAUGUUUCAUUAAAGGUGAAAGAAAACCUUGAUGACAUUUUGACCUUUAUAGUUGCUUUUCAUUAAAAUAUACUGAAUAAAGCUGGUAAAAUGGAA